CGCAUCAAACAAUGAAUAAAUUACACGAUUUUCAUCAAACAUGUCGUAUGUUGUGUAAAAUACACGAUUGUAUUGUAUUAAAUUGACGAUGUAAAGUACAAGAUUGCAAUUUGUGGCGCCAUUUCAACAUGGGAUGUGGGCCUUCGCGGGAGGUCAUAGUGGUGUGUAUAUACGUUUUUUUUGUAUUUGGGUAAAUAUUGUGUAUCGAGUGUUAUCGUACUUUGAAGAAAGUCAAUUUUGUCUUGCUGCAACAACUCCAACAAGGAAGAAAUUAUAGUGAUUACAAAAUUGUGAUGCAAUUAUAAACUGUAAACCAAAUGGUAUUAAUUCGUAAGCCUUUGCUGUAAAUUAAACCAUAUAUAAUAUAUCCUUCGUUACAGUAAUGUUUGUGACGUCACCUGAAUCUCUGUGACGUCAUAGUCUUCCUGGACAAUUUUCAUGUUUAUGGUAGAAAACCUGCAGUUUUCAGAGUUAAAAAUGUUUUUAUUAAUUAUUUUCAUUAUACCUGAUAGUUGAGUAUUUGGAGGCAAAUAAAAUAGACUUCCUCUUGCAGAAAAGAAACUUCUUAUCAUUUUCAAAUAUUAUAAUUUAUUUUAUUAGAUACAAACAGAAAAUCGACCAGCAGGUCCAGUAGUAGUUCAAAGUUCAACUGUAGGAUAUGCACAACCAGGUACAAACAACUGUUCCGAUCCCAACUUUCUCCUGUGCCUGCUAUUAAUACCGCCUGCGACGCAGGCUAGGGCAGGCUCUAUUCCUAAAAUUUGGCCCCAAACAGACAGAGGCGUAGCUAGCCCGUCAAUUUAGUCCCGCUAUGCAAAUUCAAAAAUAUUACAUUAUUCAUUUCUUUAGGAAUUGAUUGUUUUCACAGUCAAUGAACACGAAAAUAUUUGCAUAGUGCGACUAAAUAUCAUCGGGCUGGCUAUGUUACUGCAAAAAGAGUAUUUUCCCUUUUACGUUUAUCUCCACAGUUAGAAAUGACGCAUUUGAUUAAGAAAGAUGCACACACAUCAGGAACAUACAACACAUCCUCACAACUGUUUAGCGGCUGUGCGCAGGCUACUACAAAUGUUUGACCAUAGGCCACUUUCUACAGUUGGGUUUAAAUAUUUUUUGUGCAUCUUAAUAUGCCUUCUUGGCCUCGUUCUGGUCAUAAAAUUAUAUUUAAUUUCAGUCACGGCCAAGAAAGUCUGGCUGUGUUACGAAAGUGAUCUAUAUGGACACAUGUUAUUUUCUCUCAAUCAGAUUACCAGCAAGUACCACCACAAUGCAUGGCAGCACCAUGUGGACCUCGACCAGCUGGGUACCCUCAGCAAAGGCCACCAUAUGUUUGCCCGCAAGAUCCACCUCCUCAAGGUUACCCACCACAGUAUGGUUAUAAACACCCAGCACCAGUUCAUGUCUGGAACUGAAUUUAUAAUGAGUUACUGACUAUAGUUGAUUAGUAUUCGUAUGUUUAUUUGUUAUUGUUUAGUCGUAUUACGUGAUUAAAUGGCAUGAUACAGCAUGUUUU